rnacentral:rRNA from 1 species
UGGGGAAUAUUGCACAAUGGGGGGAAACCCUGAUGCAGCGACGCCGCGUGAGUGAAGAAGUAAUUCGUUACGUAAAGCUCUAUCAGCAGGGAAGAGAAUGACGGUACCUGAGUAAGAAGCCCCGGCUAACUACGUGCC